rnacentral:rRNA from 1 species
GUAAUACGGAGGGUGCAAGCGUUAUCCGGAAUCAUUGGGUUUAAAGGGUCCGCAGGCGGACUUAUAAGUCAGUGGUGAAAGCCUACAGCUUAACUGUAGAACUGCCAUUGAUACUGUAAGUCUUGAAUUCGGUCGAAGUGGGCGGAAUAUGUCAUGUAGCGGUGAAAUGCUUAGAUAUGACAUAGAACACCGAUAGCGAAGGCAGCUCACUAGGCCUGGAUUGACGCUCAGGGACGAAAGCGUGGGGAGCGAACAGGAUUAGAUACCCUGG